rnacentral:rRNA from 1 species
UGGGGAAUAUUGGACAAUGGGCGCAAGCCUGAUCCAGCCAUGCCGCGUGAGUGAUGAAGGCCCUAGGGUUGUAAAGCUCUUUCACCGGUGAAGAUAAUGACGGUAACCGGAGAAGAAGCCCCGGAUAACUUCGUGCCAGCAGCCGCGGUAAUACGAAGGGGGCUAGCGUUGUUCGGAUUUACUGGGCGUAAAGCGCACGUAGGCGGACUAUUAAGUCAGGGGUGAAAUCCCGGGGCUCAACCCCGGAACUGCCUUUGAUACUGGUAGUCUUGAGUUCGAGAGAGGUGAGUGGAAUUCCGAGUGUAGAGGUGAAAUUCGUAGUUAUUCGGAGGAACACCAGUGGCGAAGGCGGCUCACUGGCUCGAUACUGACGCUGAGGUGCGAAAGCGUGGGGAGCAAACAGG